AAAGACACGAUUGAUCUCAUGAAUUAUUAUAUGUUAUUUAAAUGAUCAUAUAAUUAAUUUGGAAUUACAAAAAGACUUCUGAUCAAUUAGAUUAGUGUUUGCAUAGCUUUGAUCCAAAUCUUUGGUUCGUUUUUCACCUAAUUUUGGAGGCGAUUAUUGAGUUUGCAUCGGUGAUUAAUCUACUUGCCAUGGAUUUAGGGUUUCGUGCGAGUUGCGGAUCCCGGCAGUUACGAUAUCCUAAAUACGACGAGGGGAAGCGACGCCGGAUCUGCACUAUGGGGGAAGGGAUUGGGCGGAGUUCGGGUCUCCUUCCCUCUGUUUCCUGAGGGCCGGAUUGCGUCGAGGUACUCCUACGACGGAGGACGUCCGCCGGGGAGAGGAGCACCCAGCCCUUCUUCUAUGUUAUGAAGGUAGAUCCAUCAUUUAUGAAUCACCUGCAGAUGAACCUUGUGCUGCUGGAGUUUGUGCCUGUGCUGGGGAUCCCCAAAAGCUACCACAUUACUGUUUGUAAAAUGAGCAAAAGAAAAUUGUGGUUCAAGGUUCUCUGAGACAGCUGCCCAACAUGGCCAAGAAUAUCGCUCUUCAGAUAUUGUGGUCUUGUUAUGGCAAAAGAGAUGAUAUCUGGACCAAUGUCUUGUCCAAGAAAGAAUAACCAAGUCUCCAUAAAUAGCGAAUUGGAGAGGUAUUCACACAAAUCAAACGAGAUGGAUUGGAGUAACUCAUUGCUAGCGUAGAGCAUGGUUCAUCUAAUUUACUGAUGACAUCUCCUGGUGAAACAUACAUAUAAGGUCACAGUUGCUCGAACGACCGUAUCAUCAGAUGCUCAAAAGUAUCAUAUAAAGUCACAUCACCAAAGCCAUGGUUGAGGUGGCUCCUCAGGUGUAACUGUUUACCUCGUCUUCAGAAUUGCAUGGCAGAUGAUUGAUUCAUCUUUCCAGGCUCCAAAGCCAUGAUGAUUGAUUCAUCUCGUAGAUACCAUGAUGUUAGUUAGAUAUGGCCAGUGCUAGCCACUUUGAAUUACAUGUUCUUGGUGUUUUCAGCAUCAUGAUGAGUUCUUAAAGGAUUUUAAAUGUCAAUUACAGUUUCAAUUA